rnacentral:lncRNA from 1 species
GUUGGCCUGAUUUGUGUUGUGUGGCCUGAUAGUUGUUUACAGAAUAAUCUUAGAACUGUGCAGUUUAGAAAUCACUGGAACAAUCACAGAAUGAUUGGAACUGUCCAUUUGACUUGCAUAAUGAUUUCAGAAUGAUCCUAAUAAAAGAUGCGUUAUAUAAACUUCUACAUUUUACUAGAAACUUCCGUUGUAACUUUCUAGGACGUUCCAUUCUAUAGUGUUCUAGAAUUUUC